GAGUUACUACUCCAAACCCAUUGUGAACCUUACCUAUGUUCUGUUGCCUCGGCGGCGUGGUCAGCGCCCCCUCUGAAAAGAGGACGAUGCCCUCCCGCCGGCAGCACCAAACUCUUUGAAUUUUACAGCGGAUUACAGUUCUGAUUUGAAAACAAAAAACAAGUUAAAACUUUCAACAACGGAUCUCUUGGUUCUGGCAUCGAUGAAGAACGCAGCGAAAUGCGAUAAGUAAUGUGAAUUGCAGAAUUCAGUGAAUCAUCGAAUCUUUGAACGCACAUUGCGCCCGGCAGUAAUCUGCCGGGCAUGCCUGUCCGAGCGUCAUUUCAACCCUCGAACCUCCGUUUCCUCAGGGAAGCUCAGGGUCGGUGUUGGGGCGCUACGGCGAGUCUUCGCGACCCUCCGUAGGCCCUGAAAUACAGUGGCGGUCCCGCCGCGGUUGCCUUCUGCGUAGUAAGUCUCUUUUGCAAGCUCGCAUUGGGUCCCGGCGGAGGCCUGCCGUCAAACCACCUAUAACUCCAGAUGGUUUGACCUCGGAUCAGGUAGGGUUACCCGCUGAACUUAA
rnacentral:rRNA from 1 species